CGUGUUUAUAUUGUAUUUAUAUAUAUAAAGUCUAUACCUUUCUGUUUACAUCGUUCACAUCGUAUACAUCGCGAUGUUGACAAUAUUGUGUCAACAUCGUGUUUAUAUUGUAUAUAUAGUGUCUACACCUUUCUGUUUACAUCGUUCACAUCGUAUACAUCGUAAUGUUAACAAUAUAGUGUCAACAUCUUGUUGUUGUUGUAUAUACAUUUUUUUUCGUUUUUUUUUUUAAAUAAGUUAACAUGGUUAAGCAGUUAGUUAUAUAGUUAAAAAAUUGUUUUCCAUUUUUCAUGUCGGCGUCUUUUAUUGUUAACUAUGCCAUAUAAACUUUGCUCAAUGUUAAAGGCCAUACGGUUAUCUAUAGAUGUGCCAGUUAGUAUGUAUGUACUGGAAAUUUUACUUAUUUGCAAUCAUACCACUUCUUUUUUUUAUAUAUACCUUUCUGUUUAAAUUGUUCACAUAACAAUGCUAACAAUAUUGUGUCAAAAUCGUGUUUAUAUUUUAUAUUGAGUCUAUGGUACGUAUAUAAAACGUUAAACUAACUGCAUUUGUUUGCACCUGUCCUUAGUCAGGAAUCUGUCGUUCAGUAGUUGUCGUUUGUUGAAUUGUUCAUACGUGUUUCUGGUUUCAUGUUUUUUUUACAUUAGACCUUUAUUUUUCCUGUUCAAAUAGUUUUAACACUAGUGUUUUUUUGUGCCUUUCAUAGCUUGCUACUCGAUAAAAACCAAAACUCCGUAUUAAUGACAAACCUAUAGGGGUUUACUUAUAAAAG
rnacentral:lncRNA from 1 species